UAUCCAGCUCACAGGCUGCAGGGGGCCAUGGCCCUAUCUUACUUGUUCUCCUGUCUCCAAAAGCUCAAGGAAGCCAUUGAUUGAGUUUAUUUGUAAACUGAAGUCCACCGAUGGAAAGAGGAAGAAAAUGCCGUAUCCUCUUAACCGCUUAAAAAUCUUGACCUCAAAGAGAAGGAAAAAGCUGAAGCGGGAAUGUUGAAGAAACAUAAAUUUCAAUAAGUGAAUAACUUCAGGCUUUAAUAUGAAAUUCACUCUCAAGUGAGUUGGGCAAUGGAACACGUAUUCUUCUGUUUUCUGUGUUCAGCAGACAGCUGGAAACCCACACAGGAUGCCAGAACUAUGUGACCUACAUUUGCAGUUAGACAGCAUUUGUUAAAAUGAAAUCAAAGAUUCAAAGUGUUUAAGUUUACAUUUCUUUGGGAGUAUUAUAUGUACUGGAUAAUGGAACAACAGAUGCAUUUCUUCUUCUUCUUUUUUUUCCUUCCAGGUAUUUAAAUUCACAUUAAUCUGCCUUUUCAUUCUUUAAAAACAAAGACACACAAGCAGAAAACUCCCACUGAAGCCUUUUUUAGGUAUAAAACAUUAAUCUAUUGAAAGCUUCACUAAUGUACAAUAUCUCUGCA
rnacentral:lncRNA from 1 species